AUGCAUAUUUUCACCUGGUUGAUCGUUACUCUAUGGGCAAUAUGGUUUUCAAGGAGAAAGGCAAUCCACGAGGAUAUACAUCAGAGUAUAAUUUCUAUUCAUCAUUUUGUCAACUCUUACAAUGCUGAGCUAAAUGCUAUUCAAGACCCAAAGGCUAGCCAGCCGAUACAAGUUCAUGAUACCGGAGAGAAGUGGCUUCCUCCAGGGACAAGCAACGAGAAAAUUAACAUAGAUGGAGCUUUCAAUCAGAACGACAGCAAGGGCACCGCUGCUGCUAUAUGUAGAACAGAGCAAGGAGUUUAUGUUGGAGCCUCGGCGAUUGUGGUGCAGAGUACCAAGGACCCAUCAAGCCUAGAAGCACUCGCUUGCUGA
rnacentral:rRNA from 1 species